rnacentral:rRNA from 1 species
ACCCUAAAACUAGCCAAAACAAGUUCAUAACCCACCAUUAUUAACCUUACCUAAACAUCUUCCAUCUAAUAUUAAAACAUUUUAUUCUUCCCAGUAUAGGCGAUAGAACAGAACCUUUGAGCUAUAGAAAUAGUACCGUGAGGGAAAGUUGAAAAAGAAAUGAAAUAAAUCACCAAAGUACAAAAAAGCAGAGACUUGUCCUCGUACCUUUUGCAUCAUGAUCUAGCAAGAACAAUUAGACAAAAAGGCCUUUUAGUCUAACUUCCCGAAACCAAACGAGCUACUUCGGAGCAGCAGUCAGAGCCAACCCACCUCUGUGGCAAAAGAGGGGGAAGACUCCCAAGUAGCGGUGAUAAGCCUACCGAGUUUGGUGAUAGCUGGUUAUCCAAGAAAAGAACCUAAGUUCUGCAUUAAUCUUUCAAUCAAGUAAUAAAAAAUCCUUUUAAUAAACUUGAUUGUAAUAAUUAAUAGUUAUUCAAAAAAGGUACAACUUUUUUGAACUAAGAAACAACUUUUAAAGGAGGGUAAUGAUUAUAACUUCCAAGGUUUAUUCCUCAGUAGGCCUAAAAGCAGCCACCUGUAAAGCAAGCGUCAUAGCUCAAGCCCAAAGACACACCAACCAAUCCCAAUAACUACUCAAAACCCCCUCAAACCCUAUUGGAUUAUUUUAUCAAAUAUAAAAGAAAUUAUGCUAGAAUGAGUAAUAAGGGGCUAACCCCCUCCUACAACACAAGUGUAAGCCAGAAAGAAUUAAAUCACUGAUAAUUAACCGACGCCAAACUGAGGCCCUCAUAAUAUAAACUAGACUAACAAGAAAACCCCAUAUUAACCAUCGUUGACCCUACACAGGAGUGUUAAAUAGGAAAGAUUUAAAGAAAAUAAAGGAACUCGGCAAACACAAACUCCGCCUGUUUACCAAAAACAUCGCCUCUUGCCUAACAUGUAUAAGAGGUCCCGCCUGCCCUGUGAUUUUUUUAACGGCCGCGGUAUCUUGACCGUGCGAAGGUAGCGUAAUCACUUGUCUUUUAAUUGAAGUCCCGUAUGAAAGGCAUCACGAGAGUUUAUCUGUCUCUAUUUUCCAAUCAAUGAAAUUGACCUUCUCGUGCAGAGACGAGAAUAAAACCAUAAGACGAGAAGACCCUAUGGAGCUUCAAACACUUAAGUUAAGUUUUUAAAAUACUAAAUCUCCCCCGGGUAUAAACAUAAAUUAACCCCUAACUUAACUUGUUUUCGGUUGGGGCGACCAAGGGGAAAAACAAAACCCCCUUAUCGAAUGUGUGAGAUAUCACUCAAAAAUUAGAAUUACAAUUCUAAUUAAUAGAAAAUCUAACGAACAAUGACCCAGGAACCUUCCUGAUCAAUGAACCAAGUUACCCUAGGGAUAACAGCGCAAUCCUUUCCUAGAGCCCCCAUCGCCGAAAGGGUUUACGACCUCGAUGUUGGAUCAGGACAUCCUAAUGGUGUAGCCGCUAUUAAGGGUUCGUUUGUUCAACGAUUAACAGUCCUACGUGAUCUGAGUUCAGACCGGAGAAAUCCAGGUCAGUUUCUAUCUAUGACGGAAUUCUUCCCAGUACGAAAGGACCGGAAAAAUAAAGCCCAUGCCUAUCGGUAUGCUUUAUUCCUACCUAUUGAAACCAACUCAAAUAGGAAAAGGUUACCAUCCUAUAACCAAAGAUAAUGGUUU